CCUACGGGUGGCAGCAGUAGGGAAUCUUUCACAAUGGGCGAAAGCCUGAUGGAGCAACGCCGCGUGAAGGAUGAAGGCCUUCGGGUUGUAAACUGCUUUUAUAAGCGAGAAAUAUGAUGGUAACUUAUGAAUAAGGAUCGGCUAACUACGUGCCAGCACCCGCGGUCAUACGUAGGAUCCGAGCAUUAUCCGGAGUGACUGGGUGUAAAGAGUUGCGUAGGUGGCAUAAUAAGUAGCUAGUGAAAUCUGGUGGCUCAACCAUUCAGACUAUUAGCUAAACUGUUAAGCUCGAGACCGUUAGGGGUAGCUGGAAUUUGUAGUGUAGGAGUGAAAUCCGUAGAUAUUAGAAGGAACACCAAUAGCGUAGGCAGGUUGCUGGGACGGUUCUGACACUAAGGCACGAAAGCGUAGGGAGCAAACGGGAUUAGAUACCCUAGUAGUC
rnacentral:rRNA from 1 species